UACGAAGGGGGCUAGCGUUGCUCGGAAUCACUGGGCGUAAAGGGCACGUAGGCGGUGAAUCGGGUUGAAAGUGAAAGUCGCCAAAAAGUGGCGGAAUGCUCUCGAAACCAAUUCACUUGAGUGAGACAGAGGAGAGUGGAAUUUCGUGUGUAGGGGUGAAAUCCGUAGAUCUACGAAGGAACGCCAAAAGCGAAGGCAGCUCUCUGGGUCCCUACCGACGCUGGGGCGCGAAAGCAUGGGGAGCGAACAGG
rnacentral:rRNA from 1 species